GGAAGGAUCAUUAUCGAAAUCGAAAGCCUAGGAGAAAGGGGGGGGAUGCGGGGCUGUCGCUGGCCUCUUUGGCAUGUGCACGCGUUGGUCCCUCUCCCGCCUUCGAAGCUUUCAACUUCUCAACACCUGUGUGCACCCGCUGUAGGUCCUUCGGGACCUAUGUCUUCUCUUCCGAACUCGCAUGUCUACAGAAUGUGUAUGCGUCGCGUUGGCGACUGCGAAACCUUUGUACAACUUUCAGCAAUGGAUCUCUUGGCUCUCGCAUCGAUGAAGAACGCAGCGAAUCGCGAUAAGUAAUGUGAAUUGCAGAUUUUCCGUGAAUCAUCGAAUCUUUGAACGCACCUUGCGCUCCUUGGUAUUCCGAGGAGCAUGCCUGUUUGAGUGUCAUCGAAAUAUCGGACCGAAUGACUUCGAUGCUGUCGGAGCUCGGUUUCGGAUGUUGGGAGUGGUGCGGGCGGCAACGUCGGCUCUCCUCAAAAGCAUUAGCUGUGGGCGCGAGCCUCGCAUGGCACGGCCGCUUUGACGUCGUAAUGAUCGUCGUGGGCUUGGAAGUGCGUGGGUUGACGUGUCUCCACGCUUCGAAACCUUCUGCGAGUCCGUCCGUCGUCCGGACGGUCGCACGUAUCGAUGCUUGACCUCAAAUCAGGUAGGACUACCCGCUGAACUUAAGCAUAUCAAUAAGCGGAGGAAAAGAAACUAACGAGGAUUCCCCUAGUAACUGCGAGUGAAGCGGGAAAAGCUCAAAUUUCGAAUCUGGCGGUCCUUGGCCGUCCGAGUUGUAAUCUAGAGAAGCGUCUUCCGCGCCGGACCGUGUACAAGUCUCCUGGAAAGGAGCAUCGUAGAGGGUGACAAUCCCGUCUCUGACACGGACC
rnacentral:rRNA from 1 species